rnacentral:tRNA from 1 species
GUCUCUGUAGCUCAGUUGGUUAGAGCGCUAGUGCACCGGAAUCGCAGAGCCGUAGGUUCAAUUCCUACCAGAGGACC